AUCAACCUUGCGUCCUCAUGAAUACUAGUGAGAUUUGUUUCUGCUGAACCAAGAUGGAACUCCAAACUUAUGAAUCUCUGUAAAGGCCUUGUACGUUCAGAGGAACACAAUUCCGGACCUAAGAGCAUAAAAGUGAGUGUGAACACAUAAAAUAUGUCUCGUUAAAACAUGUAAGUACAUUCCUAACUCAUGUGCCUUUGAACGGCAUCACAAAAAAAAGACCACCAGGCACUCCAGUUCCACCUCUCAUGGAGGGAAGUCCGACGGAAAGAGCGUCAGAGUGAAACUGGCCGUCUUAACUUACUCAAUGUACUUGACUGAACUUUUUUUCUCUUUAACUUACAUCACCUUUGCAAAUUCUUCAAAAUGACCACGUUUAUACAUUCUGAGCCAGGACCUUGUCAGAGCCCAUCUACAGUCAUGGAAAGGGAGUGGUGCUUUAGCUUCGUGGGAAACCCACCUCUGAGUAGAAAAUAAUGCAGCAGCCAGCCUGUCCUCAAAGCUGAGUCUCUGCCACCACGGGUUGGUCCAGAGAAGAAACACCAGAUGAUGGAACAGCUGUUAGAACAUUGGGAAAGUGGUUGAGCUAAAUCACGCUCUCAUCAGAGAAUAAAACGUUUUUUCAUCAAAGGAUUGGCAGAAUCCUGGGCACAGUCACACCCACCCCAGCCUUUUGACACCUUAGACCCGGCCUGUCCCCGCCCCCCAGGUAAUAGAUACAUGGUUUGUCCCCCCUCCCCAGCCCCUUCCGCCCCAAGAGCCGAGUAACCCCCAGCCCCACUGUGCAGAGUGGGGCUCAGGACACAGAAGCGCAUCAUCUCCGUGUCGAGAAGGACCCGUGCCCAGGGCUUGGGUGAGAGCCGGGCUCACGUCUCCUAAGCCCUUCCCAGAACACACGCUGCCCAGGAGCCAGGGGCCAGCCUGCUUCUCACUUGCCGGGGUACCUGAUCUCCUAUCACAUCUCCUGAUGACGAGGACAAUGAUGAGGACAAUGACGACGAGGACGAGGACGACAAUGACAGGAGCGCUUUCUAUGUUCUGGAUACUGAUGCUUUGUGAGUGGGGGGAUUCGAGCAACGUUUCCAAGUGGAGAUGCUUGUGCCACAAGGAUGUGCGCUGCCCACCGAAGGAGGCCUUUCACCUUCACGACUCAGAGGCCCAAGGACUUUGAGCUUCUCACUAAGACAGCGACAGUAAAGAAAGGUCCUUCCCUUGACCUGAGCUUGGACCUCAGCCCAUGGUGGUCCUGUUCUGGAUUUAGGGUUGACAAUGACGUCAGAGCAAAGAGGGUGAGAGUCUGUGAAGGACAAAUGCAGGUGCAAUAAAUGUCCAUCAGCCGAGGAUUGGCUAAAGAAGACACAGGCCAUAGACUCAGUGGACUCUUGCUCAGCCACCUGCAGCAACGUGGAUGGACCUAGAAGGGAUCCUACUCAGUGAAGUAAGUCAAACAGAGAAAGACGAAUCUCAUGUGAGAUGACUAAUAUGGAGAGUCUAGGAGCAGUGAUGGUAUAGACGUUACAAAACAGAAACAGACUCAACGAUUUCCAAUCCACACUUAUGUUUCCAAAGGGGAAACGUGGCAGGUGGCAGUUAGGGGGUUGGUAUUGAUGAAUACACACUGUUGCAUGUAACACAGAUGGGUAACAUGGACCUACUGUAUGGCACAGGGAAAUUUACUCAAUACUGGGUAAUACUC